rnacentral:rRNA from 1 species
UACAGAGGUCUCAAGCGUUGUUCGGAUUCAUUGGGCGUAAAGGGUGCGUAGGCGGCGCGGUAAGUCGGGUGUGAAAUCUUGGAGCUUAACUCCGAAACUGCAUUCGAUACUGCGGUGCUUGAGGACUGGAGAGGAGACUGGAAUUCAUGGUGUAGCAGUGAAAUGCGUAGAGAUCAUGAGGAAGACCAGUGGCGAAGGCGGGUCUCUGGACAGUUCCUGACACUGAGACACGAAGGCCGGGGGAGCAAACGGG